AUAUAGAUAUUAAGUAAAUAGAAAAUAUAAGAAAAAGAAAUACACAACUUAAAAACAAUGGAAAAAGUAUAUUAAGAUUUAAACAUCUAUCUUAAAAUGUAAAAUAUAGAUAUUACGCAAAUAGAAAGUAUAAGAAAAGGAAAUACACAAUUUAAAAAAAAUGGAAAAUGUACAUUAGUAUUUAAACAUCUAUCUUAAAAUGUAAAUCAAACUUAAAAUAUAAAAUUAUUAGUAAAUAGAAAGUAUAAGAAAUAAAAAUACACAAUAUAAAGAAAAAUAAACUCUACUAAUAAAAGGGAGCUUUUGAGGCUCCAUAGGGCGUCCACAUCAGCGGAAAACAUUUCUUCCGAAAGAUGACAUGUGGCAUAAAAUAUAGUUUUACAUUUUAAUAUUAAUUAUUUUCGAAAAUUGUAAAAAAUAUGUAAACAUACAGCAUUAAAAAAUGGAAAAACUACAUUAAACAUAUGUAAGAUUACUAUUUUUCACUUAAAAAAAAGACGGCUUAUCUCCAUAAUGUAACAUUACCGUUUUAUAAAAAAAAAACAAAAAACAUUAUAUAUAAUUUCGAAAAUAAUAAAUAUCUGUAAAACAUACAACAUAAAAAUGGAAAUACUACAUUAAACAUAAAUAUGUUUGACUAUUUGUCCAAGUUCUUCUAUUAAACAUUGCCGUUUUACAUUAAAAAUAGAAAAAUACGUAAAGAUUUAAACAUCUAUCUUAAAAUAUAAAAUAUAGACAUUAACUAAAUAUAAAGUAUAAAAGAGAGAAAUACUCAAUAUAUAAAAAAAUAAAUAAUAAGUAAAUAUUAUAAAUAUAUAAAUAUACGAAUUAUAUAUACAAUAAUAAGUAAAUGCACAAUUUUUUAAAAAUGGAAAGAAUAUAUUAAAUAUUAAACAUCUAUCUUAAAAUGUAAAAUAUAGAUAUUAAGUAAAUAGAAAAUAUAAGAAAAAGAAAUACACAACUUAAAAACAAUGGAAAAGGUAUAUUAAGAUUUAAACAUCUAUCUUAAAAUGUAAAAUAUAGAUAUUACGCAAAUAGAAAGUAUAAGAAAAGGAAAUACACAAUUUAAAAAAAUGGAAAAAGUACAUUAGUAUUUAAACAUCUAUCUUAAAAUGUAAAUCAAUCUUAAAAUAUAAAAUUAUUAGUAAAUAGAAAGUAUAAGAAAUAAAAAUACACAAUAUAAAGAAAAAUAAAUAAUAAGUAAAUAUAAAAUAUAAUCUCGAAAGAUGACACAUGGCAUUAAAAUAUAGUUUUACAUUUUAAUAUUACUUAUUUUCGAAAAUUAUAAAAAAUAUGUAAACAUACAGCAUAAAAAAAAUGUAAAAACUACAUUAAACAUAUAUAAGAUUACUAUUUUUCACUUAAAAAAAAGACGGCUUAUCUCCAUAAUGUAACAUUACCGUUUUAUAAAAAAAACAAAAAACAUUAUAUAUAAUUUUGAAAAUAAUAAAUAUAUGUAAAACAUACAACAUAAAAAUGGAAAUACUACAUUAAACAUAUGUAAGAUUACCAUUUUACAUUUUUAUUUUAAGAAAAUAAUAUGUAAACAUACA
rnacentral:lncRNA from 1 species